AUGGCAAUGCAGAAGCAUCAAACCCAGGGAAGGAUGAUCAGUCCUGGGUGCCAGAAGGUAAUUCUGGUGGUGUUUGGAGGAGGGACUGCAGAAGAUCAGAGACAGCGAGGCUCUUGCAAAGCCCUAAUAAUGGGAAAUGAGGACCCACAGAAGACAGAAAGGAAGGCCGCGGCUUGGCGCUGGGGUGCUAGAAGCCUGAGACUUGGGGAAGCGGCCGCUUGUCCUGAGGCAGGCACGGGAGCCUUAUUCUUUGUUUCCUUUUAUUAAAAAAUGUUUUCCCCUUUCUUAAUGUUAUUCUGGAUCUUAUUUUCAAAAUUGCAAAAAAGUAAAUUGGAUUUCCUCCAGUGAGCAUAGAAAAAGAUGACUCUCCUCCCUCCCGCCCCCCUCCCUCCCCACCCUUCCUCAUUUCUCAUGAUGCCUGCAAUGCUUGCCCUUUGAUCUUUCACGUCUUCUGACGAGGAGACGGACUGCUCGAUUUUUAAGAACACUGUGUGUGCCCCGAAGGAAAGGUCAGUGCCAGCCACUCAACCUUCUAUGAGCUUCUCCAUGACCGGCUGUGUUUUUUGCUGGGCUCCUUUGGGCAAGAUUGUCGUGAUACCUGAAAUUGGCACUAGUCAUGCCUGUUAAUCCAAAUGGGGAGAAUCAGCUUAUUAUCUGUAAACAUGCUCUCUGUGCCUGGUCCCCAAGGGUUAAAGAGGAGACUUUCUAGAAAAUGUCGAUCAUUGCUCAGAUGAUCUACAUACUGAUGUAUUGAUAGCUACAAAGGAAGAACUUUUUAUGCCUCUUAGAGGUUUCUGAGGAGCAUGGACAGCAACGAAGGUGACAUAAAGAGAAGGUUUUCGCUGUAAGCUUUGACCAAACUGAGG
rnacentral:lncRNA from 1 species